rnacentral:rRNA from 1 species
CGAAUGUAGUUACACUCCGCACGAUCUAUCUACGGAGGACGGGCCGGCCAUCAACUCUCACCGCAUACGUCUCUCGCUCGCUCGCUCGUACCCAGGGCCUGGUUUCGUGCCAGCGUCUGCAGCAGCAGUCAGUCCGAACAAACAAGGAAGUGAGGUGGUUUGUGGUCUUUAGACAACGGCGGCGGACGGCGAAUAAUACCACGGUACCUUGCUUCGUUUGGUUAGUUAGUGUCGGUGUUCCAGCAAGGGCCAGGAGGAGGUGGCGGCGGCCGGCGGCCGGCGGCGGAUACGAAAGGAGAGGGCCCUUGGGGGUAGGUGCCAGACUUGAGAAUUACAUAUGUCGUUCAGUAUAACCGAUAUGAAAACCGGAGAUGCUUACUAAAAUAAGACGUACCCCGUAUGACUUCUAUGAAUAAACUGGUUUUCAAACAAGCUCUGAACGGACACUAUGACCACAAGUUCGUUUUCUGAGGCUGACAGACUGUCGUACCUUUGUAUGUGGUGCCUACUGCGCGAAAGCCGGUACCCCAAACCGUUUAAGGUCCGCGAACAAGAACGAAUACGUCCGUACCCAACCCAGCAUCUUCGGUACCUCGAGUUGGAUGACAGUAAACAGCCUGGCAACCAAGCCCUCCUCACCGUUCAGAGACGGGUUCUACUCUCGGAUGAGAGUUCACACCAGAAACGGCCGUACGAUUGGCCGAGUGAACGAACCCCGAAACAAAGACUGUCUAUACCAUCUUCCUGGCAAAACGACAAAAGUCGAGACAAAUGAUCGCCUUACCCGAAGAAUUCACGGACCAGAGGGUUGAUAAACACGAACUACCGAGAAGCCAAAGAGCAGCCGCAUCCUCACCCUCCGCCCGUACACAAGAGUAGAACCAAAAACCUCAAACAAGGACGCGUUUUAGCGCCGUGAACGCAUCAAGAAAAAAGCGAAAAAACCUGAUAGCCAUGAUAGAACCUCCGAAGUGAACGUACCCAACAGUAUAGCCGUAACUUAACCGCCACCAACGAUCAUAACUGGAGGUAAGGUACGAAGGAGAACGAAGGUAAGAAAGCUUAUUAUGGACUUAGUGGUGCGAUAGAAACACGUGUUUUAUCUUACAGUCUGCGAUGUGAACAGGACCUCUCACAGAGAUACUAUUUGGUUCUUCGAGAAGGAGGACCUCAAGAGUGUAUGGUGGCACUUUCAUUUCAACCGUGAGAAUGUAGACUCUGGCUUUAUCUAGUAGAAGAAGGUCAGUCUCUCUGUCUUACGUUUCGAUUGUUACGGAACUCGAAGUUUAGACCGCGGCGACGCCGUGACGCUUCUGAUAACAGUGGUCGUAACGCGUCUAGUUGAGAAGAAGAAACCAAACAAAUGAAACGUUUAAGGAAACGAAUAAUACCCCAUCAGAACGACUGUAGAGUCGACUCGCUACGGUUAUGUUUGACGGGUAGACCCGACUGUUUGAAUGUCGCAGUUCUUCUACGAUUGGAAAUGUCCCUAUGUAAACAAUGGUCAAAUCGUCUCUAAGGACCAGAUUAACAUAGACGGCAAGAACAACUUACCUAACCGGCUUUUCGAUGUUACACCAGGUACGAGAAGUGAACACGACGAAAGGAACCCGGUGAUCAUGAAGUAGUCCUACUCGAUAAAUGUUGCCGGGAGAAUAAACCACGAGCGCGUACACGGUACCCAUCGAGGUGUCAAGAUACAAAUAUACGAGGUCUCCAUAUAGGUUGUAGUCAGGCGAGCUGGCCGCAACCUUAACGUUGGAGGUAACCAUUUUAACCACCCCAAUAUACGGGAGAACAGCGACAGCCGUACGAUGCGUGGACGGUAGUUUACCUUCGACAAAAACACAAACUCGACCACAAUACGGAGCGACCUCACCGGACGUAAGAGAAGGGACAUCUUUGGUUCCCGGCACUUUAACUGACUACAAUUUAUAUAAUCACAUAUAUCGAUCAUUAAGUAACUGUACUUCUACAGUUCAAACCGACCUAAAGAAUGUAAAAACCUCCAUGUACACCUACACCCCAAGGCCGUUUGGGAAUUCCAAGCUUGUGAUCCCACGCGCGCUUCAGAAAAGGAAAGUGGCUAGAUGCGGGAUCGAGCGAUUCUAGAGCGCCUGCUUGAGCUGCUUGAGCGUUGUGGCUUUCUGUGUUCUAAAUAUGACCAGGCCCGGUGGCAACACCACAUUAUGGGAUGAGGUCACACCACCAUCACCUAACGGAGAACCCGACUACUACUUGUUA